CCUACGGGUGGCAGCAGUGAGGAAUAUUGGUCAAUGGGCGGAAGCCUGAACCAGCCAAGUAGCGUGAAGGAUGACUGCCCUAUGGGUUGUAAACUUCUUUUAUAUGGGAAUAAAAUGUUCCACGUGUAGGGUUUUGUAUGUACCGUAUGAAUAAGGAUCGGCUAACUCCGUGCCAGCAGCCGCGGUAAUACGGAGGAUCCGAGCGUUAUCCGGAUUUAUUGGGUUUAAAGGGAGCGUAGGUGGACUGUUAAGUCAGUUGUGAAAGUUUGGGGCUCAACCGGAAAAUUGCAGUUGAAACUGGCAGGCUUGAGUCCAGUAGAGGCGGGCGGAAUUCGUGGUGUAGCGGUGAAAUGCUUAGAUAUCACGAAGAACUCCGAUUGCGAAGGCAGCUUACUGCAGCGGAACUGACGCUGAGGCUCGAAAGCGUGGGUAUCAAACAGGAUUAGAUACCCCAGUAGUC
rnacentral:rRNA from 1 species